GCCCGAUGUUAGUGUGAGCCGCCAGGGACACAUAAAUAUGUUGACUGAUAUCUUCCUCCUUGAUGAAAACCAGGCGGGAGGAUGGAAGAAGCUGAGUAGAGAAAUGUUUGUCCUCCUUUAAUCAUGUGGUGGUUUGGCCCGUGCCCUGCUCUGACCAUCAGGAGUACUUCCUCUGUCUCCAACCUGCAGCCAGGAAGUCCUCCAACAGUAAGUUGAGAGUCUGUUUUGACACAAUGGGCACCAUCAUCAGUGUGGAGGGAAUCUCAUCACCCAGAACCAAAUCUAACAAAAGCUAAUUCCAACCAAUGUCUUGUUGUUGUUGUUGUUGUUGUUGUUGUUGUUGUUAGAUAGAGGGGAUAGAGGGGAUACAGGCCAGGCCAGAGGUGGAUAGAGGGGAUACAGGCCAGGUCAGAGGUGGAUAGGGGGGAUACAGGCCAGGACAGAGGAGGAUAGAGGGGGAUACAGGCCAGGGCAGAGGAUAGAGGGGGAUACAGGCCAGGACAGAGGAGGAUAGAGGGGAUACAGGCCAGGACAGAGGAGGAUGGAGGGGGAUACAGGCCAGGACAGAGGAGGAUAGAGGGGAUACAGGCCAGGACAAAGGAAGCUAGAGGUGAUACAGGCCAGGUCAGAGGUGGAUAGAGGGGAUACAGGCCAGGCCAGAGGUGGAUAGAGGGGAUACAGGCCAGGACAGAGGAGGAUAGAGGGGAUACAGGCCAGGACAGAGGUGGAUAGAGGGGAUACAGGCCAUGACAGAGAAGGAUUAAGGGGACACAGGCCAGGACAGAGGAGGAUAGAGGUGCUACAGGCCAGGACAGAGGAGGAUACAGGGGAUACAGGCCAGGACAGAGGAGGAUAGAGCAGAUACAGGCCAGGACAGAGGAGGAUAGAGGGGAUACGGGCAGGAGUCAACCAUUUAUGGUUUUUCUUGAACUAUCAGACUACGGGCCCCAUUCUAGGAAAACUGGUUACCAGGUUUCCAAGACACGUAGGACAGAGCCUUUAGGUUCUAGAAACAUUAACUAAAAUGAAUAGAGCUUUUAUGGCAUCACACACAGCAACACUAGGACAAAGUUAGGCUUUUUCAGUCACAAC
rnacentral:lncRNA from 1 species